rnacentral:rRNA from 1 species
GACGAACGCUGGCGGCGUGCCUAAUACAUGCAAGUAGAACGCUGAAGAGAGGAGCUUGCUCUUCUUGGAUGAGUUGCGAACGGGUGAGUAACGCGUAGGUAACCUGCCUUGUAGCGGGGGAUAACUAUUGGAAACGAUAGCUAUACCGCAUAACAAUGGAUGACACAUGUCAUUUAUUUGAAAGGGGCAAUUGCUCCACUACAAGAUGGACCUGCGUUGUAUUAGCUAGUAGGUGAGGUAAUGGCUCACCUAGGCGACGAUACAUAGCCGACCUGAGAGGGUGAUCGGCCACACUGGGACUGAGACACGGCCCAGACUCCUACGGGAGGCAGCAGUAGGGAAUCUUCGGCAAUGGGGGCAACCCUGACCGAGCAACGCCGCGGGAGUGAAGAAGGUUUUCGGAUCGUAAAGCUCUGUUGUAAGUCAAGAACGGGUGUGAGAGUGGAAAGUUCACACUGUGACGGUAGCUUACCAGAAAGGGACGGCUAACUACGUG